rnacentral:rRNA from 1 species
AUUGAACGCUGGCGGCAUGCCUUACACAUGCAAGUCGAACGGUAACGGGCCUUCGGGUGCCGCCUAGUGGCGACCGGGGGCGUACUACAUCGGAACGUGCCCGAUCCUGGGGUAUAAUGGGGCGAAACCUAUGCUAAUACCCCAUACUAUCUCCGGCUGCCAGCAGGGGACAGCAGGGCCUUGCGCGGCCUUACCCGCCGAUGUCAGCUUAGGUCGUUGGAGGGAUAAAAGCGUACCAAGGCGACGAUCUGUAGCUGGUCUGAGAGGAUGAUCAGCCACACUGGAACUGAGACACGGCCCAGACUCCUACGGGAGGCAGCAGUGGGGAAUUUUGGACAAUGGGCGCAAGCCUGAUCCAGCCAUGCCGCGUGGAUGAUGAAGGCCUUCGGGUUGUAAAGUGCUUUUGUUGGGAACGAAAAGCCGUCGGUUAAUACAGGAGUGUCAUGACGGUACCGAAAGAAUAAGCACCGGCUAACUACGUG